ACAGAACCUUCCCUCCAUGUAUACAGAGCGAAGGCAAUACUUCAGUAGGAACAUAUCCAAACUGUAAUGAGAGUAUCAGUUUAAAUUUCGCUCAAGGAUUUCAAAGAAAGUGUUAUACUGGCUUUCCAGCUCCAAAUGGAUUAGGAUUAAUGCUAUUGCUGAUCACCCUAUGUAAGAAAUAUAGACUUGUACCUCAAAGUGAGGGCAAGAGAACCCAGGCCUAGAGGAUGUGUCAGAAGACGAGGUGAGGAACUCAUGCUGUACAUACAGCUUUGGAAGCAUAACCAGCUAGGCUCAGUACACAUGCCUAAACUGAAUCAAGAUAAGAAAGAAUGAGAUGGCCUGAGCAUGCAGAAGAAUUGGGUUCAACUUGUAGACACUAUGAGGAAGAUUAUUGAUGACCACCAGUAGAAACAAACACACAUAUGUGAGGAACAUUUGCAUGUUUUAGUGACUUUUGGGAAAUAAUAUGAAUACAUUGAUUAUUCCUUGGAAAUCUAAUGAAUAUGUAUAUUUUGUUUGCAUAUAACCUUUGUAGUUGAGCAAUUCAACCUGCACACUAGGUACAGUAAUCCCUUGUGUGCCUGGCACCACAAGAGAAUACCUGCUUUCUAAAAGCCUAAAUUGAGUGUUUGAGAGUUUCUUUGACCAGCUUGUACAUUAUCAUUAUCAACCUACUAAUAGUUAAGUUUGUAUUUGCUAUAGGAAAAAGAAUUGUUUCCAUUUCCUUACAGUACUGAUAUAUGGGCAUGGUCUCAUAUGAAGUUCUUACUCUGAACAGCAGUACUAUGUACAUUUUCAAGUCUACAAGUUUUAAAAAAGUUUCAGACUACUUCUAUAAGCAAGUUUCAGCAUAGUUACAUCUUUGAAGUAACAUAUGAAUACAUAAAGCUAAUAAGUCAUUAUUAACAUGAAUUUCUGAAUGUAUAGUAGUUAAAUAACAUGAAAGCAACAUAUUACAGAAGCCUGAAGCAUAAUAUAAAAAAGCAAAAUAGAGGAAGAGUACCACCUAAACAUAACACUACUUAAUAUGAUAAACACAGUUUUUAUACUGGAAGUUAUCUUAUAACUUGUUUAGUUCCUAAUCAGGGAAGAUUAUUUACUUACCUAUUUUGUUAGCUACUUUAAGUCUUAAUAAAAAGUCUUAAUGUUUUGCUAUUUCAGAUACUACCUUUAGUUACCUUUUUGGGUACAGACUACCAUCAAUACUGUGAACAAAAACAAAGCCCUGAUAAGAUAUACUGCCAACUAUCCCUUACAGAGCACAGAGGUGAGGGAGGGCUAUAAAUAGGAACCCAGUCCUACCAUCUCAGCUGUCCUGCAUGUGCCAAGUCAGGCAGGGAAAGUGAUAAAAGCUGUGGCUGGGUGAGGUGCCCUUUAGCAUCAGGAGACUGAGAGAGUGUUGUAGAGCUGAUGUGGUGGCUGCAUAAAUUUGUUUUGUUCUGAUUAGUCCAAUCUACUAGUAAGGCCUAUGUUAGGCUAGCAAGGCCUCUGUUAGGCUAUGCUGGAAUAGGAUAUUUAAUUCCCUUGAGCAUUGAAGCCUGUUGUACAGUCUUGGCUGUGGAAAGCUUGAUUGCCCCAUUUCAGCUGUGAUACAUGAAAGAAGCUAGCAACAAACAAUGGUAAAGUUGAUGAGCAAGGGCAAGGAUGGCAAUGGAAAUACUUAUACCAUGCUUCUAACGGGCUAAGCUCUCUUAACAAAGAGAAUGGGCAUCUGGCCUUGACCUGACGCCUUGGAUUGGACCCAAAUGACUGUGAAGUGAGGCUGUUCCUGUGUAUGUCUUUCCUGUUGUCUCCAAACUCCUGUAAAAUUCACCUCUUCACAUGUUGGUUCGAUUUGGGCCAAUAUUGCAGUGUAUAUUGCGGUAGUUGAUUGUGUCUUAGUGUGACAGCACAUGUGGUUAGGCUGUCAUCCGACUGAAUCUGGGAUAUCCAAGCCAAUUUACUGGUUUAACUAGUACAUCUGAACUUGGUUAAGGUUUGUUAUGUAUUCUAGCACAUGCAGAGACUGGGAAGACUAAAAAAUACUGUGUUUCAUGUGAUACAGUGUAAAAGCUGAACAGGUAGAGAACAGGGACACUGGUAACGUUCCUGCUGAGGGACUGGGUUCCUGCAUAUUGAGUGAAAUAUUUCAUGAUGGAAACUAAUGGCAGGGGACAAACACAGUCUUGUCACACUUAAUGGCACUCCUACUGGGCUUUGUGGUGGCACAAAGGCUGUGAUGUUUGUAUCUUUCUAUACUAACUCUCUAGAAUCAUUUUUCUUCCCCAGCUGCCCCCAGGGAAAAUUGAUUUGUUCAGAAAACAUGGAUGGUUACUGAGCACUCUUUCUGAAUCUUUUGUCCAGAGCUUAACAUUUUCUUCCACUGUUGAAGUGGACAAGUAGUCUUCAAGUAACCUCGGAGGAGUUUAUCACUUGUGGGUGCAGUGCCCUCAACUUUCCUCUGGUGUGUUCACCAGCUUAACACAUCCAAUACAGCUACAUUAUCUCAAGUCUUUAUAUUCCUUAGCUAGAUUGUUAUGUGUGUAUUAAAUGGUAGUUUGAAAAACAGAUAUGAGUUCUCGAUAUUUUUUUAAGGAAUCCAUUUAUGUGCACGUAUCAAACCUAACAGCAGAAGAAUGUGCUAGAGACCUGCUCAAAAAAGCAAACAACACCAACAAAAAAAGUGUCUUAAAAGUGCUUUGAAGAAAGUGCAGGAAAAAAUGUUAGGUUUAAAUGAAUGCAACGAGCAUACAUACAGGCUUAUGAGAUUUUCUUAUCUGUAAUCAAAGAUGAUUUGUCUUUGAGUGGAACUUUUGAGAAACUGUUAUUAAAAAUUGACAAGUGUUUCUCGCUUUAUCAAUGCGGAUUGAUGUGAGGGGUGGGGAAGAGAAGAUGUGGCUGUACUGCAGUUGUAUGUGAAGAUGUCUAAGCCAGUUGUAAUGGAACUAGUUCAGGUAGCAGAAGCCACCUGGCUGCAGAAACAUGGAGUUCAGAUGAUGCUGGUUUAUCCUGCCAAAAAAAAAAAAAAGAUCCAUUUAUUGUGUAGGUCUCAAACCUGUUAUUUCUAGCUUGCUUUCAGUAGCACCCAGACUAUCCUAGUUAACUUGCACAUCUUAAAAGGAAGACAGUGAAUUACAUUUUAAUAUCAAAUGUAGCAUUUCAUUCAAAUAGGAGAAAAAAAAC